GCACUGAAUGAGAUUUUAACACGAAGUGAGUGGCGGACGGGUGAGUAACACGUGGGUAACCUGCCCAGAAGCAGGGGAUAACACCUGGAAACAGAUGCUAAUACCGUAUAACAGAGAAAACCGCCUGGUUUUCUUUUAAAAGAUGGCUCUGCUAUCACUUCUGGAUGGACCCGCGGCGCAUUAGCUAGUUGGUGAGGUAACGGCUCACCAAGGCGAUGAUGCGUAGCCGACCUGAGAGGGUAAUCGGCCACAUUGGGACUGAGACACGGCCCAGACUCCUACGGGAGGCAGCAGUAGGGAAUCUUCCACAAUGGACGCAAGUCUGAUGGAGCAACGCCGCGUGAGUGAAGAAGGGUUUCGGCUCGUAAAGCUCUGUUGUUAAAGAAGAACGUGGGUGAGAGUAACUAUUCACCCAGUGACGGUAUUUAACCAGAAAGCCACGGCUAACUACGUGCCAGCAGCCGCGGUAAUACGUAGGUGGCAAGCGUUAUCCGGAUUUAUUGGGCGUAAAGCGAGCGCAGGCGGUCUUUUAAGUCUAAUG
rnacentral:rRNA from 1 species